rnacentral:rRNA from 1 species
AACCGGGUGCUUGCACUUGGGGAUUAGUGGCGAACGGGUGAGUAACACGUGAGUAACCUGCCCUGGACUCUGGGAUAACCCCGAGAAAUCGGAGCUAAUACCGGAUAGGACCAGUCCUCGCAUGGGGGUUGGUGGAAAGUUUUUCGGUUUGGGAUGGACUCGCGGCCUAUCAGCUUGUUGGUGAGGUAAUGGCUCACCAAGGCGUCGACGGGUAGCCGGCCUGAGAGGGUGACCGGCCACACUGGGACUGAGACACGGCCCAGACUCCUACGGGAGGCAGCAGUGGGGAAUAUUGCACAAUGGGCGCAAGCCUGAUGCAGCAACGCCGCGUGCGGGAUGACGGCCUUCGGGUUGUAAACCGCUUUUAGUAAGGAAGAAGGGGAGCUUGCUCCUUGACGGUACUUGCAGAAAAAGGACCGGCUAACUACGUGCCAGCAGCCGCGGUAAUACGUAGGGUCCGAGCGUUGUCCGGAAUUAUUGGGCGUAAAGAGCUCGUAGGCGGUUUGUCGCGUCUGCCGUGAAAUCCUCAGGCUCAACCUGAGGUCUGCGGUGGGUACGGGCAGACUUGAGUGGUGUAGGGGAGACUGGAAUUCCUGGUGUAGCGGUGGAAUGCGCAGAUAUCAGGAGGAACACCGAUGGCGAAGGCAGGUCUCUGGGCACUUACUGACGCUGAGGAGCGAAAGCGUGGGGAGCGAACAGGAUUAGAUACCCUGGUAGUCCACGCCGUAAACGUUGGGCGCUAGAUGUGGGGACCUUUCCACGGUUUCCGU